ensembl:lncRNA
AAGUGGUCCAGUGGUGUGACUUUUGAGUUGGACCUCCGCCCUGGACUCUAGAGCCGGAUUCCUCAAGGUGUGGUCCCCAAUCUGGCAGCAUCAGCAUCACCUGGGAGCUGUUAGGCAAGCAAGUUAUUGGACCCCAUCCCAGACCAGCUGAAUCAGAAGCUCUGGGGGCGGGACCCAGUGAUUUCUGUUUUAACAGGCGUCUUCCCUCUUAUCCCCCAGCCCUACCCCAGGUGACUGUGAUGCUGGCUCAAGCUUGAAAACCACGGCUUUCUAGUCCGGAACAUCCUCUGGGGUCCCUUACCUGAGAACACCUGAGGACACUGCGGUCUUUCUGCGUGAACGUGUGCAGUCCCUGGGCUCUGAGAGAUAGAAAGGAGUGCGAAGUGAAGUGUCAGCCCUUAUGAGCUUCCAGUCACCUGUAGAACGUGGGAAGGCCAAGUCCAAGACCAAGAGAACCAAAGACCAAGGGGGCUCCGAAUGAUCGCAAAAGUCCUGGGGAUAGAUUCAGCAAGGACAGAGACCCCAGAAGGCAGGUGGAAAGGAGAGAACAGAGCGGACAAGGACAGAUUUCGGGUCAGGAUAAAGACUGAGAACACCCGAGGGCACUGGACCAGCAUUGCUCCUGUGUCUGUGCAGUGCAAGCCCCAGGCAGGGAGACGGCGCUGUGAGCUGCAGAGUGUGGCAGAAGCUCCUGACACCACUGGACGUGAGCUAAACCGUGGCAGGUACCCACGGACAGCCUCCUUUGGGCCAAGUACUAUGCCAGCCAUCCUCAUGGGUUAACUUCCGAUCAUCUGUGUGCUAAUGACGCCCACUCUCUGAAGUCCAGACCUCUCCACAUUCACACUCCUACAUUCACAUGGUAGGUACUUUAUAAAUAGCUCUUAAAUUAAUGGAUAAAUGAAUGAAUGCUUUUCCUUAAAAGUUUCAAGUUCUUUCACACCCCUAAAAUGAAAUCCUUUUGCUGCCUGAUGGUAUUACUUGGACUUGGUAAUAGCCUCAAGAAGAGAAACCAUAAGGUUACCCUUGCCUCCUCCUGGUCUCCUUCACAUCAAGUUCCACUAAUUUUAACUCACUGUUUCUUAAGCCUGCCUUUCUCCCCAUCUCCACUCCUCCCACCUAAUUCAGACCUGUAUCAUCAUCUCCUUGGAUGCUGCCCCAGCCUUGCUGCGGUCUGCCCGCCUCCAGGCAUGUCCUUAUAGCAUCCACGCUCUCCUGCUUCAGUGGCUCUCUGUUGCCUACUGAACAAAGUUCAUGCUCCUUGAUUAUGUUAAAUCAAGUUCUCUGUGUCCUGCUCUCUGCCUUCCUUUCCAGCCUGGCCUUAAGAGUAACUUGCCUAGAAUGUCUGUGGUUUCCUGUACACAGUAUGCAGAUUCUUUGCUUAUGUGCUACACUCUGGUGUAUGACCCACUGUGUACCUCCAUUUGUAUACCUCCAUGUAAGCCUCAGCUGAGCUGCCAGUCCCUCUGGGAAGCCUGGCUGACUCUCUUCAGGCUGAGCUGGGUGCCCUCUACUUGGCUCCUGUAGUACGCUGGGCAUCCCUCUGUCAUUGCUCUGUAAAGCUC